UACGUAGGUGGCAAGCGUUGUCCGGAAUUAUUGGGCGUAAAGCGCGCGCAGGCGGUCCUUUAAGUCUGAUGUGAAAGCCCUCGGCUCAACCGAGGAGGGUCAUUGGAAACUGCAGUGCUUGAGUACUUAAGAGGAUCGCGGAAUUCCUGGUGUAGCAGUGAAAUGCGUAGAUAUCAGGAGGAAUACCGAUGGCGAAGGCAGGUCUCUGGGCUGACACUGACGCUCAUGCACGAAAGCGUGGGGAGCAAACAGG
rnacentral:rRNA from 1 species